rnacentral:lncRNA from 1 species
ACAACCCCGUAAGAGGGGUGUAUUUGUCAAUAUUAGAAAAUAACCCUGUAAGAGGGGUAUAUCUUUCAAAAUUAGAAAACAACCCUAAAAAAGUGGUAUAUUUGUCAAUAUGAUAAAACAACCUCGUAAGAGGGGUAUAUUUGUCAAUAUUAGAAAACAACCCCGUAAGAGGGGCAUAUCUUUCAACAAGAGAAACCAAUACCAAAAAAG